rnacentral:rRNA from 1 species
CUCAGGAUGAACGCUGGCGGCGUGCUUAACACAUGCAAGUCGAACGAAGCACUUACCAAGGAUUUCUUCGGAAUGACUAUAAGUGACUGAGUGGCGGACGGGUGAGUAACGCGUGGGUAACCUACCUCAUACAGGGGGAUAACAGUUAGAAAUGACUGCUAAUACCGCAUAAGCGCACGGUAUUGCAUGAUACAGUGUGAAAAACUCCGGUGGUAUGAGAUGGACCCGCGUCUGAUUAGCUAGUUGGUGAGGUAACGGCUCACCAAGGCAACGAUCAGUAGCCGGCCUGAGAGGGUGAACGGCCACAUUGGAACUGAGACACGGUCCAAACUCCUACGGGAGGCAGCAGUGGGGAAUAUUGCACAAUGGGGGAAACCCUGAUGCAGCGACGCCGCGUGAGUGAAGAAGUAUUUCGGUAUGUAAAGCUCUAUCAGCAGGGAAGAUAAUGACGGUACCUGACUAAGAAGCUCCGGCUAAAUACGUG